GUGUCAGCCGCCGCGGUAAUACGGAGGAUCCAAGCGUUAUCCGGAUUUAUUGGGUUUAAAGGGUGCGUAGGCGGGAGAUUAAGUCAGUGGUGAAAGUUUGCGGCUCAACCGUAAAAUUGCCAUUGAUACUGGUUUUCUUGAGUACAGUUGAGGUAGGCGGAAUGUGGUGUGUAGCGGUGAAAUGCUUAGAUAUACCACAGAACACCGAUUGCGAAGGCAGCUUACUAAGUUGUGACUGACGCUGAAGCACGAAAGCAUGGGGAUCAAACAGGAUUAGAUACCCCAGUAGUCC
rnacentral:rRNA from 1 species